ACACCUCAACUCUCAUGGCCUGCCCGCCGUGACGAGCUUGGACUUUGGAGGUCUUGCCGGUGUACCGUCGGCUCCUCUCAAAAGAAUCAGCUUGCCAGUGUUUGGCGGCAUCACAGGUGUGAUAACUAUCUACGCUUGUGGUUUUCCGCCAGGCAACCUCCAGUGAUGGGGGUUCGCUGGAGCUCACAAAUGUCUCUCCUAAGCGAGGACAGCUUUUUGAAC
rnacentral:misc_RNA from 1 species